AGAAAGUGCGCCCUCGGGAGUAUCAAGUCGGUGAAUUGGUACUCAAAAGAAUUCUUCCUCCUAACACAGAUCACAGGGGCAAAUGGACACCGAGCUAUGAGGGUCCAUACGUGGUUAAAAGGGUUUUCUCUGGCAGAGCUCUGAUGCUAACAACCAUGGAUGGCUAAGACUUCCUGUCCCCUGUCAACCCAGACGCAGUUAAA
rnacentral:lncRNA from 1 species